rnacentral:lncRNA from 1 species
UAUCCUAUUAAAUAUUAAUGAAUGUUUGUUCAAAAAAAAGUAAGAAAAAUACUUUUCAAUAAUGAUCUAUAAAUUCUGUAAAUUAAAUAUCUGUAUGAAUUUUAAAUAUUCAAAAAGUUUAAUUAUUUUAAAUAACUGUUUUAAUUUCUUUUUUUAUAUUUAAAAUAAAAUGCAUAAAAUUAAAAAGAUCAUAGAUCAUCAUCACAACAUUAACAGAAGAAUACCACACGGUAGCUUUUUAAAAAACCUUGCAUAUAUAUCCCCCAAGUUUGCGGGAAAAAGGGUUUUUAAUUCCCAGACUAUUUGUAAUAGGCAAUUUAAAUACAGAAGUUUUAGUUGCACGUUUGUAUUCCCCAAUUUAAUGAUGACUUUAAAUUAAGUAUCAAAAAAGUCAGACGUCAUAACCCGUUAAUAUUAUAUGAAACAGCGUUUGUGAUUUUCCUUGAAAACAAAGAAAUCCCCAAACUGAAACCCUAGAUCGAGUGCAGAGAGAUUUCCAGCGUGCGUGAUGGUGAAGACGUUCACCGGAAGACGAGGAAGAGCACGAAAUAAGCUUCAAAUCCAAAGGGGUUCAUCAAAUCCCAUAGUUUUUGAAGUUCCAGAUGUUUCUUUUCCUCCCACAGUUCACGAAGGUUUUAAAGUUCCUGAAGUUUCAAUAACCACUAAGAAAAAAGGUAAAAUCAGUUCUUUUCAUGUUAAUAAUUCUUAUUAUUGAUUCUUGUAAUUGAUUCUGUCGCAUGAUGACUUCUUAUUAGGACACGAGAUGAAGAAGGUUCUUGAUUUGAUGAAGAAACAGUGAGACAUGAGGAUGAAGAAGAAACAGUGGUACAUCGUAAUGAACAAGAAGCUAUGGACUCGGGUGAGAAUUCAUCUGUUGAGGCAGAUGAUUGUGAGGUUAUUGUUGAAGAUAUGGCUGGAUAUAAGGAGUCUGAAC